UACGUAGGUGACAAGCGUUGUCCGGAUUUACUGGGCGUAAAGAGCGCGCAGGCGGUCGAUCAAGUCGAGUGUGAAAGCCCCCCGGCUCAACUGGGGAGGGUCAUUCGAUACUGAUCGACUUGAAGGCAGGAGAGGGAAGCGGAAUUCCCGGUGUAGUGGUGAAAUGCGUAGAUAUCAGGAGGAACACCGAUGGCGAAGGCAGCUUGCUGGGACGGUACUGACGCUGAGACGCGAAAGCGUGGGGAGCAAACAGG
rnacentral:rRNA from 1 species